GUCUACGGCCAUACCACCCUGAACGCGCCCGAUCUCGUCUGAUCUCGGAAGCUAAGCAGGGUCGGGCCUGGUUAGUACUUGGAUGGGAGAUGGCCAGCGUAAGUCUGGGUUCUCAGGCA
rnacentral:rRNA from 1 species